UGGGGAAUUUUGGACAAUGGGCGAAAGCCUGAUCCAGCAAUGCCGCGUGUGUGAAGAAGGCCUUCGGGUUGUAAAGCACUUUUGUCCGGAAAGAAAUCCUUGGCUCUAAUACAGUCGGGGGAUGACGGUACCGGAAGAAUAAGCACCGGCUAACUACGUGCCAGCAGCCGCGGUAAUACGUAGGGUGCAAGCGUUAAUCGGAAUUACUGGGCGUAAAGCGUGCGCAGGCGGUUUGCUAAGACCGAUGUGAAAUCCCCGGGCUCAACCUGGGAACUGCAUUGGUGACUGGCAGGCUAGAGUAUGGCAGAGGGGGGUAGAAUUCCACGUGUAGCAGUGAAAUGCGUAGAGAUGUGGAGGAAUACCGAUGGCGAAGGCAGCCCCCUGGGCCAAAUACUGACGCUCAUGCACGAAAGCGUGGGGAGCAAACAGGAUUCAGAUACCCUGGUAGUCCACGCCCUAAACGAUGUCAACUAGUUGUUGGGGAUUCAUUUCCUUAGUAACGUAGCUAACGCGUGAAGUUGACCGCCUGGGGAGUACGGUCGCAAGAUU
rnacentral:rRNA from 1 species